rnacentral:lncRNA from 1 species
CCAAAGAGGAAGCCCCAGGGCCCAGCCUACUACCAGACCACCACCUCUACCAGACCAGAGAGGAAGCCCCAGGGCCCAGCCUACUACCAGACCACCACUUCUACCAGACCAAAGAGGAAGCCCCAGGGCCCAGCCUACUACCAGACCACCACCUCUACCAGACCAGAGAGGAAGCCCCACGGCCCAGACCUGGCCCCCCUCCACUCCACAGGGCCCAACAGCAGGACCAGCAUAGCUACGCAGAGGCCAUCAGAGGACAGGAGAAUCCUGUAGGAUUAAAAACAACAGUGACAGCACCAUCAUCAACAACAGAAGGGAUCUGUUGCAGCUCUGUAGAAGCCUGGGUCUGUACUUUGUCAAUGGACCUGAGCCCUAGGACCAUGCCUCAGGACUACCUGGCUUGAUGACUCCUUGCUGUCCCCAGUUCACCUGGCCGCGCUGCUGCUCCAGUUCCAACUGUUCUAGCUAUGGAACCCUGACCUGUUCACCGGACGUGCUACCUGUCCCAGACCUGUUGUCCCAGACCUGCUGGAACCCUGACCUAUUCACCGGACGUGCUACCUGUCCCAGACCUGCUGUUUUCAACUCUCUAGAGACAGCAGGAGCGGUAGAGAUACUCUCAAAGAUCGGCUAUGAAAAAGCCAACUGACACUUACUCUUGUGUUGCUGACCUGUUUCACCCUCGACAACUACUAUGAUUAUUAUUAUUUGACAAUGCUG